UACGUAGGGGGCAAGCGUUGUCCGGAUUUAUUGGGCGUAAAGAGCGUGUAGGCGCCAGACAGGUCUGCUGUGAAAACUCGAGGCUCAACCUCGAGACGCCGGUGGAAACCGUCUGGCUAGAGUCCGGAAGAGGAGACUGGAAUUUACGGUGUAGCGGUGAAAUGCGUAGAUAUCGUAAGGAAGACCAGUGGCGAAGGCGGGUCUCUGGACAGUUCCUGACGCUGAGGCACGAAGGCCAGGGGAGCAAACGGG
rnacentral:rRNA from 1 species